UCCGUAGGUGAACCUGCGGAAGGAUCAUUACCGAGUGAGGGCCCUCUGGGUCCAACCUCCCACCCGUGUUUAUCGUACCUUGUUGCUUCGGCGGGCCCGCCUCACGGCCGCCGGGGGGCAUCCGCCCCCGGGCCCGCGCCCGCCGAAGACACACAAACGAACUCUUGUCUGAAGAUUGCAGUCUGAGUACUUGACUAAAUCAGUUAAAACUUUCAACAACGGAUCUCUUGGUUCCGGCAUCGAUGAAGAACGCAGCGAAAUGCGAUAAGUAAUGUGAAUUGCAGAAUUCAGUGAAUCAUCGAGUCUUUGAACGCACAUUGCGCCCCCUGGUAUUCCGGGGGGCAUGCCUGUCCGAGCGUCAUUGCUGCCCUCAAGCACGGCUUGUGUGUUGGGCUCUCGCCCCCCGCUUCCGGGGGGCGGGCCCGAAAGGCAGCGGCGGCACCGCGUCCGGUCCUCGAGCGUAUGGGGCUUCGUCACCCGCUCUGUAGGCCCGGCCGGCGCCCGCCGGCGAACACCAUCAAUCUUAACCAGGUUGACCUCGGAUCAGGUAGGGAUACCCGCUGAACUUAAGCAUAUCAAUAAGCGGAGGAAAAGAAACCANCAGGGAUUGCCUCAGUAACUGCGA
rnacentral:rRNA from 1 species